rnacentral:rRNA from 1 species
GGUUUAAACUCAGAUCAUGUAAAAUUCUAAAGGUCGAACAGACCUAUUUUAUUAGCUUCUACACCAAUAAAUCAUUUUAAUCCAACAUCGAGGUCGCAAUCUAUUUUUUCGAUAAGAGCUCUAAAAAAAAUUACGCUGUUAUCCCUAAGGUAAUUUAAUCUUUUAAUCUAAACAACAGGAUCAUAUGUAUACAUAUAAGUAUAAUAAUAAAGAAAAGUUUAAUUAAUUUUCCUAUCACCCCAAUAAAAUAAAUACAAAUAAAACCUAGUUAAACACCCUAAAAUUAAAUUUUAUCCAAUCUAUAAAACUCUAUAGGGUCUUCUCGUCUUCCAUAUAAAUCUAAGCUUUUUAACUUAAAAAUAAAAUUCUAAUAAAAUUUAAUAGAGACAGUCAUUCUCUCAUCAAACCGUUCAUACCAGCUUUCAAUUAAAAAACUAAUGAUUAUGCUACCUUUGCACGGUCAAUAUACCGCGGCCAUUCAACUAAUCAGUGGGCAGGCUAGACUUGAAAUUUUAUACAACAAGCCAUGUUUU